GACGAACGCUGGCGGCGUGCCUAACACAUGCAAGUCGAACGGAGACAUUUUUGUAGCAAUAUAGGAAUGUCUUAGUGGCGGACGGGUGAGUAACGCGUGAGGAACCUGCCUUGGAGUGGGGGAUAACACAGGGAAACCUGUGCUAAUACCGCAUAAUACGGAAAGACGGCAUCGUCUAUCCGUCAAAGAUUAAUCGCUCUGAGAUGGCCUCGCGUCUGAUUAGAUAGUUGGCGGGGUAACGGCCCACCAAGUCUGCGAUCAGUAGCCGGACUGAGAGGUUGAACGGCCACAUUGGGACUGAGACACGGCCCAGACUCCUACGGGAGGCAGCAGUGGGGAAUAUUGCGCAAUGGGGGAAACCCUGACGCAGCAACGCCGCGUGAAGGAUGAAGGUUUUCGGAUUGUAAACUUCUUUGACGAGGGACGAAGUAUGACGGUACCUCGAAAACAAGCCACGGCUAACUACGUG
rnacentral:rRNA from 1 species